rnacentral:tRNA from 1 species
UAGUUCAGUGGUAGAACAUCACCUUGCCAAGGUGGGGGUCGCGGGUUCGAACCCCGG